GUGGCCGAGCACGACUCCAACAUCAUCAUUAAGUUUGCAGACGACAUGAUGGUGGUAGGCCUGAAAAAUGUUUGUAUGAUACCCAUCAAGGACAAGACUAGCGUGGCUACCUCCAAGGCGAUGAUGAACAUCUUCAACACCCACGGUGCUCCUAAGGUCAUCUUGCGUGACCACGGUGGUGAACUCUGGAACAAGAUAAUAAUAAUAGGCUAUAUUCUGUCACCAACUAUAUAAAUAGCCAAGUUUAUUUACUGAUGUGCAAUUUUCUUCAGACCAACAAAGCCUUGUUCGAGGACUGGGGGGGUGAAGCACCGCGUCUCCGCUGCAUAUCAUCCAACAGACUAAAGUUUGGAUGAACGGACCAACCAGACCCUCAAGACUGCCAUGGGCAGGAACGGUGGGAGGAAAACCUGAAGGUAAUUAAUCUUUCCACACAUUGCUUCAGUGUCCAGGCCUCCACCAAGUACUCGCCCUAUCGCCUGCUGUACGGACGGGAGCUGCAGCUGUUGAUUGAGAUCACUGAAACUCCACCUGAUAUGGUAGAAGUUGUCGAACCAGAUCAGAAUGCCUUCGAGGACCACGUUCAGGCACGGGCUUAGAAGGACGUGGAGGUUUUUGACAAGGUAAAAAUGAUUGUCUGCUGUUGACUGGGAAGGGAAUAAAAUAAACAGAACAUAAUACAUGGGAAGGGUACCAGCUUGAGGUACGCUGUACUUUCAAAAACUGUUGAAAAGUACAUAUCUCCCCCUCCUCAGACUGGAGGAACAGGGGCAUGUAAGUCCAGUCACUGGACUAGAAAACUCUAGUGAGGUUCUCAUCUCUAGUGUCAACAGGGGCAGGUAAGGCCAGCUGCUCUCUUUGGCUGGAUGGAGAACCUUCGGGGGGGUCAUUCUUCUGCCACACUCCUUGUUAGACAAUUUGACAAUUGAUCAUGCUCAAGCUCUUUUGCAGGUGCAGCAUCCAGAAGUAGGAGGCCUCCUCACGGUGGGAGGGAUCGCCAUGCUGUCAGCAGUACCAACACUGGCCCAGGGUUUUGUCCAGAUAGUCAAUCUCAAGGCUAACUACUGGGUCAUGGUAAAUAACCUUCGCUUCCAUGUAGGUACUGUUAAGGUGUAUGACUCCAGUGGUCAUGACACCAACCCAGAGUUUCUCUCACAACUCACCUCUCUCUUAUCUUUUCCAGGGACCUCUGUGACUGUGGAGUGGCCGGCAGUCCAGCAGCAGAAAGGGGGCACAGAUUUUGUGCUGUUUGCUAUUGCAAACAGUCUUGCUCUCUGCAGAGAUGAGGAACUCUCCAUGGCACAAUACCUUCAGAAAUUCAUGAGAAUACAUAUUUUCUCUUGUUUUCAGGCUGGGCACCUGGCACCAUUUCCCAGUCCCGAUUCCAGUCCCCGUCCUGGGUCCAGCGCUAUGAUGAAACUGUCUCUCAUGAGGACCGCCACAGGAAUAGAAGACCCAGAGUUACCUCUGCUGCAG